GAUGAACGCUGGCGGCGUGCCUAAUACAUGCAAGUCGAGCGAACGGACGAGAAGCUUGCUUCUCUGAUGUUAGCGGCGGACGGGUGAGUAACACGUGGAUAACCUACCUAUAAGACUGGGAUAACUUCGGGAAACCGUAGCUAAUACCGGAUAAUAUUUUGAACCGCAUGGUUCAAAAGUGAAAGACGGUCUUGCUGUCACUUAUAGAUGGAUCCGCGCUGCAUUAGCUAGUUGGUAAGGUAACGGCUUACCAAGGCAACGAUGCAUAGCCGACCUGAGAGGGUGAUCGGCCACACUGGAACUGAGACACGGUCCAGACUCUUACGGGAGGCAGCAGUAGGGAAUCUUCCGCAAUGGGCGAAAGCCUGACGGAGCAACGCCGCGUGAGUGAUGAAGGUCUUCGGAUCGUAAAACUCUGUUAUUAGGGAAGAACAUAUGUGUAAGUAACUGUGCACAUCUUGACGGUACCUAAUCAGAAAGCCACGGCUAACUACGUG
rnacentral:rRNA from 1 species